CCUUAGGCCAUCUGGUGUGGUAUAUGUUUAGCCAGUGAAAUCUUGUGACGUGGGGCUAGCCAGAUAGCCUUUAGCCGGUGAAAGCUUGUGAUGUGGGCUAGCCAGAUAGCAGACUCCACAUAAAUUUUGUCAAUGCGCUAGCCAGAUAGCAAUGCUUGUGGUGAACCUUUGUGGCCCCUAUCAACUUUUUUUUUUUUCUUCUUUCUUUCCCAUCUAUUUUUUCCCCUCUAAAGUCUUUCUUUGAUUCAUUUGUGAUCAGUCUUAUACGGCGGACCGGCGGCCACAUGUUGUAACUAGUCACUGAUGUAACCGACAACUUUUAUGUGCAUAGCCAGCCGGCGUGCGGGCUGCUCAUAGACAUUGGUGGCAUAAUAAAGGGUUAUCAACUCAACAAAUUGAUGAUGAUCAAGAUCUUGCUUGCACUCAUGGUAGGGUUUGCGUUGAUCUUGGGAGUUGUUCAAGUCCAUGCAAAAAGGCACCUUCUGGAGGAAGAUGGUACUGAUAUAUAUAAUAAACCUGCAGGUGCAAUUGUGAAUCAUACCCCUUGCUACCAUAUAGUUAAUAAAAGUAAAGAUCAAGAUCAUGCAAAUGUUGGCGGCGGAGUUGCUGGCAGUACUGAUCGUAAGGUUCUGGCAACAAGAGAUGAUGCUACUGAUAUAUAUAAUACACCUGAAGGUUCACCUGUGAAUCGUAAACCUCACAUCCAUAUAGCAGCACCUACUCCAAAACGAAAAUGAUCGGCAUAGCCAACGUCCUUACCUUGUUCUAAAGGCUAGUUCAUAGUGAAUUGCAUGAUCGAACUUGUGUAUUACUUAUAUAUGGUGUGUUUGUAUUAUAUAUGUAAUAAUGUGGAACCAACAUGUAAGUUGCCAAAAAGUAUAUAUGUAUAUAUGUGUGUACUUAUGGCACAUGUACGUGAGUGGUUCACAAAUUAUGUUCCAAGUAUCAAUUUACAUGUUGUUGUGUGUACAUGUGUGAUGUUUGUUGACUUGGGCUUGUAGGCCGAGUAAGCUUUGUAUGAUACUCGUGUUAGAAUUAAAUAAAACCACCAUGGCUGGCAUGGUUUUGUGA